UUCGUAACUUCCGCCGCAUCGGUGUCG
rnacentral:sRNA from 1 species